UACGUAGGGGGCGAGCGUUGUCCGGAUUCAUUGGGCGUAAAGAGCUCGUAGGCGGUUCAGUAAGUCGGGUGUGAAAUCUCCGUGCUCAACACGGAGCGGCCACCUGAUACUGCUGUGACUCGAGUCCGGUAGGGGAGUGUGGAAUUCCCGGUGUAGCGGUGAAAUGCGCAGAUAUCGGGAGGAACACCAGUGGCGAAGGCGGUCGCCUGGGGCUUUGCUGACGCUGAUGCGCGAAAGCGUGGGGAGCGAUCCGG
rnacentral:rRNA from 1 species